rnacentral:sRNA from 1 species
GUCUGGCGUGGUGGCACACGCCUGAAAUCCCAGUGCCUGGGAGGCAGAGACAGGAGGAUUGCAAGUUCAAAGCCAGCCUCAGCAAUGGCGAGGCACUAAGCAACUCAGUGAGACCCUGUCUCUA